AGUGAACGCUGGCGGCAGGCCUAACACAUGCAAGUCGAACGGCAGCACAAGAGAGCUUGCUCUCUGGGUGGCGAGUGGCGGACGGGUGAGGAAUGCAUCGGAAUCUGCCCAUUUUUGGGGGAUAACCUCGGGAAACCGGGACUAAUACCGCAUACGACCUACGGGUGAAAGCAGGGGAUCUUCGGACCUUGCGCAGAUGGAUGAGCCGAUGCCGGAUUAGCUAGUUGGAGGGGUAAAGGCCCACCAAGGCGACGAUCCGUAGCUGGUCUGAGAGGAUGAUCAGCCACACUGGGACUGAGACACGGCCCAGACUCCUACGGGAGGCAGCAGUGGGGAAUAUUGGACAAUGGGCGCAAGCCUGAUCCAGCCAUGCCGCGUGUGUGAAGAAGGCCUUCGGGUUGUAAAGCACUUUUGUUGGGAAAGAAAAGCAGCCGGUUAAUACCCGGUUGUCAUGACGGUACCCAAAGAAUAAGCACCGGCUAACUUCGUG
rnacentral:rRNA from 1 species